rnacentral:rRNA from 1 species
GACGAACGCUGGCGGCGUGCUUAACACAUGCCAGUCGAACGGAAAGGCCCUGCUUUUGUGGGGUGCUCGAGUGGCGAACGGGUGAGUAACACGUGAGUAACCUGCCCUUGACUUUGGGAUAACUUCAGGAAACUGGGGCUAAUACCGGAUAGGAGCUCCUGCUGCAUGGUGGGGGUUGGAAAGUUUCGGCGGUUGGGGAUGGACUCGCGGCUUAUCAGCUUGUUGGUGGGGUAGUGGCUUACCAAGGCUUUGACGGGUAGCCGGCCUGAGAGGGUGACCGGCCACAUUGGGACUGAGAUACGGCCCAGACUCGUACGGGAGGCAGCGGUGGGGAGUAUUGCACAGUGGGCGGAAGCCUGGUGCAGCAACGCCGCGUGCGGGAUGACGGCCUUCGGGUUGUAAACCGCUUUCGCCUGUGACGAAGCGUGAGUGACGGUAAUGGGUAAAGAAGCACCGGCUAACUACGUG